CGUGCUCCGCCGGCGGAAAUUUAAUAGCUACUUACUAGCUCCCACGAAACGUCCCAUAAACAUGGUUCAGAGGUGCUUGGGAGGAGGAAAGCCAAAGGCUGCCGCCGGCCGACUGACUCCACCCCACCUGGAGGCCGGGUCCGAGAAGGCCGACCGUCCAGGGGUCCUGCUGGAGGCGGCGCAGCGUGCGUUUCAGGCAGCGGCCGCCCUGCGUGGCCUUGGCCUGCUGGAGGCGCUGGCGAAAACAGCGACCCUCGCAUCUCUGCACGUCCCUCUUCCUACCUCCCACCUAACUGGACAGAACUGGGGACACUCAUAGGCCACAUUUUACAAAGUCAAGGGCCACUGUGAUUUAAGGGCAAGAACCGAAGCCUCUCUUUCGUCUCUGAGAAUUACCUGGAGGAGGGAUAAUAGAGGAGAGGAAACAUAAUUUCUCUCACCAGAGAUAAGCAUCUUGAGACCACUUUACAAGUCUAUACCCCUGUCCCUUUAUCAUAUUCCUGAAAAUCCUUAAGACAGAAUCCCCAGCCUUUUAGUGCGCCUUCUCUCUAGGUUGCCCGCACUCCCCUUUAAGUGAAUACUUUUAAAUAAAGCUUUCUCACUGUUCAA